UACGUAGGGUGCAAGCGUUAAUCGGAAUUACUGGGCGUAAAGCGUGCGCAGGCGGUUUUGUAAGCCAGAUGUGAAAGCCCCGGGCUUAACCUGGGAAUGGCAUUUGGGACUGCAAGGCUUGAGUGCGGCAGAGGAGACUGGAAUUCCUGGUGUAGCAGUGAAAUGCGUAGAUAUCAGGAGGAAUACCGAUGGCGAAGGCAGGUCUCUGGGCUGACACUGACGCUCAUGCACG
rnacentral:rRNA from 1 species